UGCUUGUCUUCUUGUGCCAUAAGACAAAGGUUUGCGCUUUCCUUUUCUUCUCCUUCCCUUGACUCAUCUCCGGAGUCUCCUCCCCAAGAUAUAUAUGCACAUUGCUUUUUGAAAGGUUUCUUUUCCUUUUUGAUGUUUGGGCAAUUUGAUUUGAUGUGCCCGGUUUCUCCGCAUUCAUAGCACUUUAUUUGUUCUCCUUNN
rnacentral:lncRNA from 1 species